UCCUGCAACUUCAGCAGUUAAAGCAAGUAGUGAAUUUUCUCCAACAUUCACAGAAAAAUCAGUGACACUGCCACCUAUAAAAGAAAAUAUGCCAAAGAAUGUUUUGCCAGAUUCUCAGCAACAAUAUAAUGUGAAGAGUGUUAAAGUAACUGAACAAUUAAAACACUGUAGUGAGAUUCUUAAAGAAAUGCUUGCAAAGAAACAUUUUUCAUAUGCAUGGCCCUUUUAUAAUCCUGUUGACGUUAAUGCUUUGGGACUCCAUAACUACUAUGACAUUGUCAAAAAUCCAAUGGAUCUUGGAACUAUUAAGGUAAAUGUUGCCUUAAAAGGAAGAACUUCUUUUUCUUGAUUAUAAAAGUAAUUCAUCAUUGCAAAGAAAUCUUAAAAUCUAGAAAAAGAUGAAGGAAAUUAAGAUCAUCCGAGUCAUACUACCUGGAGAGAAAAUGGAUAACCAAGAAUAUAAGGAUGCAUACAAAUUUGCGGCAGAUGUUAGAUUAAUGUUCAUGAAUUGCUACAAGUACAAUCCUCCAGAUCACGAAGUUGUGACAAUGGCAAGAAUGCUUCAGGAUGUUUUCGAAACGCAUUUUUCAAAGAUCCCAGU
rnacentral:sRNA from 1 species